GGUGGGGCGGUCUAUACCUACAGUCGAGCGGACAGAAGGGAGCUUGCUCCCGGAUGUUAGCGGCGGACGGGUGAGUAACACGUGGGUAACCUGCCUGUAAGACUGGGAUAACUCCGGGAAACCGGAGCUAAUACCGGAUAGUUCCUUGAACCGCAUGGUUCAAGGAUGAAAGACGGUUUCGGCUGUCACUUACAGAUGGACCCGCGGCGCAUUAGCUAGUUGGUGGGGUAAUGGCUCACCAAGGCGACGAUGCGUAGCCGACCUGAGAGGGUGAUCGGCCACACUGGGACUGAGACACGGCCCAGACUCCUACGGGAGGCAGCAGUAGGGAAUCUUCCGCAAUGGACGAAAGUCUGACGGAGCAACGCCGCGUGAGUGAUGAAGGUUUUCGGAUCGUAAAGCUCUGUUGUUAGGGAAGAACAAGUGCGAGAGUAACUGCUCGCACCUUGACGGUACCUAACCAGAAAGCCACGGCUAACUACGUGCCAGCAGCCGCGGUAAUACGUAGGUGGCAAGCGUUGUCCGGAAUUAUUGGGCGUAAAGGGCUCGCAGGCGGUUUCUUAAGUCUGAUGUGAAAGCCCCCGGCUCAACCGGGGAGGGUCAUUGGAAACUGGGAAACUUGAGUGCAGAAGAGGAGAGUGGAAUUCCACGUGUAGCGGUGAAAUGCGUAGAGAUGUGGAGGAACACCAGUGGCGAAGGCGACUCUCUGGUCUGUAACUGACGCUGAGGAGCGAAAGCGUGGGGAGCGAACAGGAUUAGAUACCCUGGUAGUCCACGCCGUAAACGAUGAGUGCUAAGUGUUAGGGGGUUUCCGCCCCUUAGUGCUGCAGCUAACGCAUUAAGCACUCCGCCUGGGGAGUACGGUCGCAAGACUGAAACUCAAGGAAUUGAC
rnacentral:rRNA from 1 species